rnacentral:lncRNA from 1 species
CCGUGCAAAUCCAGGCUCAUUGUCAGGCUGGCAGCAUUGGCCAGGGCUGAGUAAAUCAAGUGAAACAGAAGGCAGAUGGAUGUGACCAAGUUAUUGCCAAGAGGAAACAGACAAGGAUCUUGCUCUGUUACCCAGGCUGGAAGACAGUGGUGUGGACACAGCUCACUGUGGCCUGGACCGUCCUGGGAUGAAGCGAUCCUCCCACCUCAGCCUCCCAAGUAGCUAGACCUAUAGACACAUGCCACUAUGCCAGGCUAAUUAUUUUAUUUUUUUGUAGAGAUGGGGUCUCACUUUUUUGCUCAGGUUGGUCCCAAACUCCUGGUCUCAAGUGAUCCUCCUGCCUCAGCCUCCCAAAGUGCUGGGAUUACCACUGUGCCUAAAGUCUAUUUUUUUUUCUUUAAGGAUCUCUUACCAUCUUUGAGAAGAGUAUCUUGUAUGAAUUGUAGAGAAGCAUGAUAGAAGUCAGGAAGAGUGGCUGGGUUGAGGGAGGCUUUUUAUUGCAAUAAUCCUGGUGUCAGGGGACAAGAAGCAGAACUAGGACAUUAAUAGCUGGGAUGGAGAGAUUAGGGAACUUUCUAAAGCAAAUGGAGGAAAGGGUAAAGUCAGGGUGUGGUAGCUAGUUUCUAAAGAUCGUCCCCAGUGAACCACACCCAGUAGGGUUGUCUCACAUUGAUUCUGGACUGGGCCAUUCAAACUGAUGGAAUGAGGCAAGAUGGUACUACGUGACUUCCCAUGACUUCCAAGGCUAGGUUGGAGGAAGGUUUGCCUGGGCCUCUUGGAGUGAGAACCCAGCUCUCACGCUGUGAGAAGCCCAAACCACCCAGCGGAGCUCCUAGCUACCAGCCAGCAUCACCCACCAG